UAGGGAAUCUUCGGCAAUGGACGGAAGUCUGACCGAGCAACGCCGCGUGAGUGAAGAAGGUUUUCGGAUCGUAAAGCUCUGUUGUAAGAGAAGAACGAGUGUGAGAGUGGAAAGUUCACACUGUGACGGUAUCUUACCAGAAAGGGACGGCUAACUACGUGCCAGCAGCCGCGGUAAUACGUAGGUCCCGAGCGUUGUCCGGAUUUAUUGGGCGUAAAGCGAGCGCAGGCGGUUAGAUAAGUCUGAAGUUAAAGGCUGUAGCUUAACCAUAGUAGGCUUUGGAAACUGUUUAACUUGAGUGCAAGAGGGGAGAGUGGAAUUCCAUGUGUAGCGGUGAAAUGCGUAGAUAUAUGGAGGAACACCGGUGGCGAAAGCGGCUCUCUGGCUUGUAACUGACGCUGAGGCUCGAAAGCGUGGGGAGCAAACAGGAUUAGAUACCCUGGUAGUCCACGCUGUAAACGAUGAGUGCUAGGUGUUAGACCCUUUCCGGGGUUUAGUGCCGUAGCUAACGCAUUAAGCACUCCGCCUGGGGAGUACGACCGCAAGGUUG
rnacentral:rRNA from 1 species